rnacentral:rRNA from 1 species
GUAGGUGGCAAGCGUUGUCCGGAAUUAUUGGGCGUAAAGCGCGCGCAGGUGGUUCUUUAAGUCUGAUGUGAAAGCCCCCGGGCUCAACCGGGGAGGGUCAUUGGAAACUGGGGAACUUGGGUGCAGGAGAGGAGAGUGGAAUUCCACGUGUAGCGGUGAAAUGCGUAGAUAUGUGGAGGAACACCAGUGGCGAAGGCGACUUUCUGGCCUGUAACUGACACUGAGGCGCGAAAGCGUGGGGAGCAAACAGGAUUAGAUACCCUGGUAGUCCACGCCGUAAACGAUGAGUGCUAAGUGUUGGGGGGUUUCCGCCCCUCAGUGCUGCAGCUAACGCAUUAAGCACUCCGCCUGGGGAGUACGGUCGCAAAGACUG